rnacentral:rRNA from 1 species
AUACGUAGGGAGCGAGCGUUAUCCGGAAUUACUGGGCGUAAAGGGCGCGUAGGCGGCGCUUCAAGUCGUCUGUCAAAUGGGAGGGCUUAACCCUUUUUCGCAGACGAAACUGGAGGGCUUGAGAAGCAGAGAGGCAAACAGAAUUCCUGGUGUAGCGGUGAAAUGCGUAGAUAUCAGGAAGAAUACCAGUGGCGAAGGCGGUUUGCUGGCUGCAUACUGACGCUGAAGCGCGAAAGCCAGGGGAGCGAACGGGAUUAGAUACCCCGGUAGUCCUGGCAGUAAACGAUGUAUGCUGGGUGUGAGACUAGCGAUAGUUUCGUGCCGAAGUUAACGCGAUAAGCAUACCGCCUGGGGAGUACGGUCGCAAGAUUGAAACUCAAAGGAAUUGGCGGGG